GGCACACCGAGCACCGCACCCCUGCGCUCCAGAGCACAAAACACCCCUUCCCACCGCUCUCACCUGAGAAACACAGCACCCCUUCAGCCGCUGCCGCCUCUCUCGCUCCUCCCGAGCUUCUUGGCCUCCCACACCCUCUGCACCGCACCUGGGCCCCGCCAGUGCCGCGGGCUGGGGGGCAGCAGCUGCACCUUCCUCUGCCUCUGCUCCAGCCCUUGCCCAGGUGCCUCGGCUCCCUUCGUGCUCGCCACCAACUGAUGGCUUCAGAAGGCUGACCUGGAGCAGAGGCCAGGCACAGUUACACCAUAAAGCAGGCAUUUGUUAAAAGGCCUCCACGGAGCCACCUUGGGCAGAACAAGAGCCCAGCCAGGCUACGCCCAAGAUGAACCAAAAUGGCCACAAAAUGGACAAGGUCACGAGGAUCGUUGUGAAAAGGACAGAAACUGGGGCCACUGAAAAGACCCUGGCUGGAAUCCUGGUCUUGCUCAGGACAGUUGUUCACCAAGACCCUGAGGCCUGAGCAAAGCCCUUGGCUUGCCAAGCUGUUGUUUGCAGGUGUGUUUGCUUCCAUGGAAGACUGAACCUAGUGAAAAGGAGAGACCUUGCCCUUUCUUGUGCCUGCUUCACAACAAUGGCCCUGGAAUUUCCCCACCUCUCAGCUUGGCUGGACUUUUCUGGGGUACCUUUGGUGGUCCCCACAGAAGACCCCACAUCUGCUUCACAGCCACCGUGACGGACUGAGAUGGGAGAAGCCUCUCCCUCAAGGACUGAGACAUGAGACCCCUGUGUGGAGAAGCUCCCCCUCCUCCCAAGGACUGGGACUGAAACCCCUCACCUGGGGGAGGUGUGUGGGGGAGGCGAGCUGACCAAAGUGAGAUGUGCACCUGCAGGUGUGACCAUUGCACCAAGAAGACAAUGGUUCUCACCCACUGCUGAGAAUAUGGACUGUUUGUACCCUUCUUCAAUACCUUUCUUUUUUUCCCCCCAGAAAUUACAAUAGACUAUUCUGUACUACUUUUGAUUCGAUUUCAAGACUCAUCCCCUUCCCCCAUCAAAAAAGACUAUAAUAGGAGUUCGAAUCGACCAGAGUCUUUGAGAUCUCCCCUGACGUGACCAGGCAAACUCCAUCGACUGAGACUUUGAAGGCCUUUGUCUCUCUACGUUUGGUAGCUAUAUAGCUUCCUUUCUCUUCCUCCCUCUUUUUUCUUCCUCUUCCCUUUUUCCCCAAUUCCCCCCAAUGCAUUUUGCUGUGGUCAUUCAAUAAAAGUGCAUUUGUUUUUUGAUUGUUACUGCAAA